CAAUAGCGUAUAUUAAAGUUGUUGCGGUUAAAAAGCUCGUAGUUGGAUUUCUGCUGAGAACGACCGGUCCGCCCUUUGGGUGUGUAUCUGGCUCUUUCUUGGCAUCUUCUUGGUGAACGUUGCUGCACUUGACUGUGUGGAGCGCUACCCAGGACUUUUACUUUGAGGAAAUUAGAGUGUUUCAAGCAGGCAUACGCCUUGAAUACAUUAGCAUGGAAUAAUAAGAUAGGACCUCGGUUCUAUUUUGUUGGUUUCUAGAGCUGAGGUAAUGAUUAAUAGGGAUAGCUGGGGGCAUUCGUAUUUAACUGUCAGAGGUGAAAUUCUUGGAUUUGUUAAAGUCGGACUACUGCGAAAGCAUUUGCCAAGGAUGUUUUCAUUGA
rnacentral:rRNA from 1 species